CCUACGGGAGGCAGCAGUGGGGAAUAUUGCGCAAUGGGCGAAAGCCUGACGCAGCGACGCCGCGUGAGGGAUGAAGGUCUUCGGAUCGUAAACCUCUGUCAGCAGGGAAGAACGGUCACUGUGCUAAUCAGCAGUGAAUUGACGGUACCUGCAAAGGAAGCACCGGCUAACUACGUGCCAGCAGCCGCGGUAAUACGUAGGGGGCAAGCGUUAUCCGGAUUUACUGGGUGUAAAGGGAGCGUAGACGGCAGAGCAAGUCUGAAGUGAAAGCCCGCGGCCCAACUGCGGGACUGCUUUGGAAACUGCCCGGCUAGAGUGCUGGAGAGGUAAGCGGAAUUCCUAGUGUAGCGGUGAAAUGCGUAGAUAUUAGGAGGAACACCAGUGGCGAAGGCGGCUUACUGGACAGUAACUGACGUUGAGGCUCGAAAGCGUGGGGAGCAAACAGGAUUAGAUACCCUUGUAGUC
rnacentral:rRNA from 1 species